AUUGAACGCUGGCGGCAGGCCUAACACAUGCAAGUCGAGCGGAUGAAGGGAGCUUGCUCCUGGAUUCAGCGGCGGACGGGUGAGUAAUGCCUAGGAAUCUGCCUGGUAGUGGGGGAUAACGUCCGGAAACGGGCGCUAAUACCGCAUACGUCCUGAGGGAGAAAGUGGGGGAUCUUCGGACCUCACGCUAUCAGAUGAGCCUAGGUCGGAUUAGCUAGUUGGUGGGGUAAAGGCCUACCAAGGCGACGAUCCGUAACUGGUCUGAGAGGAUGAUCAGUCACACUGGAACUGAGACACGGUCCAGACUCCUACGGGAGGCAGCAGUGGGGAAUAUUGGACAAAGGGCGAAAGCCUGAUCCAGCCAUGCCGCGUGUGUGAAGAAGGUCUUCGGAUUGUAAAGCACUUUAAGUUGGGAAGAAGGGCAGUAAGUUAAUACCUUGCUGUUUUGACGUUACCAACAGAAUAAGCACCGGCUAACUUCGUG
rnacentral:rRNA from 1 species